rnacentral:piRNA from 1 species
CCCAUGGUUUUUCUACUUGUCUUCUA